rnacentral:rRNA from 1 species
CAGUCGCCACGGGAAUACGUAGGGUGCAAGCGUUGUCCGGAAUUAUUGGGCGUAAAGAGCUCGUAGGCGGUUUGUCGCGUCUGCUGUGAAAUCUGGGGGCUCAACCCCCAGCCUGCAGUGGGUACGGGCAGACUAGAGUGCGGUAGGGGAGAUUGGAAUUCCUGGUGUAGCGGUGGAAUGCGCAGAUAUCAGGAGGAACACCGAUGGCGAAGGCAGAUCUCUGGGCCGUAACUGACGCUGAGGAGCGAAAGCAUGGGGAGCGAACAGGAUUAGAUACCCCUGUAGUCCCUGUCUCUUAUAC